AUUAAUCAGGAACCCGAUACCCAUUAAUCUCCACCUUAAUGACUUGGCCUCCUCAACUGUCUGUGGCAAUGAAUUCCACAAAUUCAUCAUCUUCUGUUAAAGGAUAUUUUCCUAUCUCUGUUCUAAAUGGAUAUGUUUCAAUUUUGAGAUACAGCCCUCUGGUCCAGACUCUUCCCCCGCCCCCCCCCCCAUAGGGAACAUCCUCUCCACAUCCACUGUAUGGAGGCCUUUCAGUAUUCAAAAGGAUGCAAUGGGAUCGCUCUUCAUUCUUCUAAACUCCAGCAAGUACAAGUAUAGAGCCAUCAAAAUCUCCUCAUGCAUUUUAACCCCUUCAUUCCUGAGAUAAUUCUCAUGAAACACCCCUGGACCCUCUCCAAUGCCAGCACAUCUUUUAUUAGUUGAGGGUCCAAAACUGCUCAGAAUAUCCGGAUGCAGUCUGACCGAUGCCUCAGCAUAACAUCCUUGCUUUUGUAUCCUAAUCUUCUCAAAAUGAAUGCUCACAUUGCAUUUGCCUUCCUUACCACUGACUCAACCUGCAAAUUAACUUCUAGAAAAUCCUGCACGAGGACUCCCAAGUUCCUUUGCACCUCUGAUUUUUGAAUUUUUCUCACUGUUUAGAAAAUAGUCUAUACUUCUAUUUCUUCUACCAAAGUGCAUGACCAUUACUUCCCAACUCUAUUCCAUCCACCACUUUGUCUAUUCUCCCAAUCUGCAGACACCCUGCUUUCUCAGCACUACCUGCCAACCCCCGCCCACAGCUAUCUUCAUAUCAUCUGCCAGCUUGGCCAUAUCAUGUAAAAAGAGGUCUCAACAUAGACCCAUCUGGAACACUACUAGUCGCUGGUAGCCAGCCAGAAAAGGCCCCCUUUAUUCCCACUGUUUGCCUCCUGCCAGUCACCAAACCUUCUAUCCGUGCUGGUGUCUCUCCUGCAAUACCAUGGCUGCUUCUUGUGUUUAGCAGCCUCGUGUGUGAAUCCUUGUGAAGGGCCUUCUGAAAAUCCAAAUAAACAGCAUAUAUUGACUCCUUUGUCUAUCCUGCCAGUUAUUUCCUCAAAGUAUUCCAGUAGAUUUAUCAGGCAAGGUAUCCCCUUGAUGACUUUGGCCUAUUUUAUCAUGUGCCUUCAAGUACCCCAAAACCUCAUUCUUAAUAAUAAUCCCCAACGUCUUCCCAACCACUGUGGUCAGACUAAUUGGCCACUAAUUUCCUUUCUUAUUCUUCUCUCCCUUGAAUAGUGGAAUGACAUUUGCAAUUUACCAGUCCUCUGAGGAUAAAGGGGAAGCCUUUUAGGACCGAAAUUAGGAAAAACUUCUUCACACAGAGAGUGAUGAAUCUGUGGAAUUCUCUGCCACAGGAAACAGUUGAGGCCAGUUCAUUGGCUAUAUUUAAGAGGGAGUUAGAUAUGGCCCUCGUGGCUAAAGGGAUCAGGGGGUAUGGAGAGAAGGCAGGUACAGGGUUCUGAGUUGGAUGAUCAGCCAUGAUCAUACUGAAUGGCGGUGCAGGCUCGAAGGGCCGAAUGGCCUACUCCUGCACCUAUUUUCUAUGUUUCUAUGCCAGAAUCCAUUGCUUCUUGAAAGAUCAUUAAUGCCUCCACAGUUACUUCAACCACCUUUUUCAGAACCCGGGCUGUAGUCCACCUGGUCCAGGUGACUUGUGUACAUUCAGACUUUUCAGCUUCCCAGGCAUGUUCUCUUUAGUAAUAACAAUGGCACUCACUUCUGGGCCCCCCCCCCCCCCGACACACUCAUUUCUGGCAUUUGGCUAGCUUCAUCCACAGUGAAAUAGUUAAGCUCCUCUGCUGUUAUGUUGUUCCCCAUUGCUACCUCUCCAGCGUCAUUUUCCAGCAGUCCAAUAUCCACUCUCGUCACUCAUUUACUGUUUAUAUAUCUGAAAAAAACUUUGUAUCAUCUUUCAUAUUAUUGACUAGCUCACCUUCAUAAUUCUCUUUUUAUUCCCCUUUAUGGCUUUUUUUUAGUUGCCUCUGUUAGUUCUUAAAAACUUCCCAGUCUUCUACCUUCCUCUCUUUUGCUUUUAUGCUGUCUUUGACUUCCCUGGUCAACCAAAGUUGCCUCAUCCUACCUUUAGAAUACUUCAAUUUGGGAUGCAUCUAUCCUGCACCUUCUGAAUUGCUCCCAGAAACUGCAGCUAUUGCUCUUCUAUCAUUGUCUCUGCUAGUGUUCCCUUACAACCAACUUUGGCUGCCUCCUCUCUCAUGCCUCUGCAAUUCCCAUUACUUCACUGUAAUACUGAGCAUCUGACUUUAUCUUCUCCCUCCCAAACUGCAGGGUGAAUUCUAUCACAUUAUGAUCACUGGCUCCUACUUUGUUUGCUUACCUAAGCUUCACAAUCAAAUCUGGGUCAUUACAUAACACCCAAUCCACAAAUGUGAUUCCCCUUGUAGGCUCUACCAGAAGCUGCUCUCAAAAACCAUCUCGUAGCCAUUCUACAAAUUCCUCCUCUUUCGAAUCCAGCACCAACCUAAUUUUCCCAAUCCACCUGCAUAUUGAAAUCCCCCAUGACAAUUGCAACAUUGCUCCUUUUACAUUCAUUUGCUUGCAUUAUAAUUUGUAGCCCACAUCCUGGUUUCUCUCCAGAAGCCUGUAUAUAACUCGCAUCAGAGUCUUUUUAGUCUUGCAUUUUCUUAACUCUACCUGUAACGAUUCUACAUCAAUUCUGAUCCUAUGUCACCUCUUUCUAAUGAUUUGAUUUAACUUUUUGACAAAACAGCCACCCCUGUCUGCCCUUUUGAUACAAUGUGUAUCCUUGGAUGUUAAGCUGCCAACUAUGAUCUUCUUUCAGCCAUGACCCAGCGAUGCCUACAACAUCAGGCCUGUCAAUCUCCAACUGCGCUACAAAGUCAUCUAACCUAAUCCACAUACUGUGUACAUUGAAAUAUAACACCUUCAAUCCUGUUUUCAUCGCCACUUUCGAUUUUGGUCCCCUGUUUCACUUUGACUGCAAUUUUGCCCCAACAUUAAAUAGAGCUAAAGUCGCAGAUUGAAGAUGGGCAGAAAUGGCCUCUUUGGAUACUGUCUGUCUGUCUAGGUACCAUAUCCGAUGUGGACGUUGGUGACCAUGGUUUUCCAUAUAGAUCUAUCCCUCAUCUUUGGAUGCUUCCAUUUCCUCGGUGUGUAGCCACCUGGCUAUGCUUUUGAUGUACAUAAGCCAAGGUCUUCCUCUGGGUUUACUCCCAUCAAUCUUUCCAGAGAGUAUGAGUUCUUCUAGUUCAUCUUUCCACAUGAUGUGUCCUAGGAAUCUGAGUUGUCUUUCUCUUAUUGUUGGUAUGAGUGAUCGAACUGCUUGGGCUCUUCUGAGAACUUCUUCAUUUGAUGUGUGUGUGGUCCAUGAUAUUUUUAACAUUCUCCUGUAGAACCAUAAUUCAGCUGCUUCUAGUCUCUCUUCCAUUGCUGGAGAAAUGGUCCAGCAUUCACUUCCAUAAGUCAGGAUAGAAUAAAUGUAGCACUGCAGUAUUCUGUUUUUAGUGUACGUGCUCAUCUUUGGUGUCUGUUAAUAUGGCCUUCAUUCUUUGGAUACAGACAAAAAAAAAGUCAGUGAAUUUGAUGAACACUAGAAUGUCUGCAGAUGCUGGAAAUCCAGAGCAACACACACAAAAUGCUGGAGGAACUCAGCAGGUCAGGCAGCCUCUAUGGAAAUAAAUAAACAGUCAACAUUUCCUCAACCAGUAUCUUUCAGUCCUCUCUAGCACAGGUUAGAAAUGGCAAAGAAUUUGCUUACGGGAAUCUCAAACACAACAACACAUCAGAUUUGCUGUCUCUGUCCAGAUAUUUAAUGAGUGACCAGAUAUUCCCUUUAUAACACCAGUAUAUCUUUUGUUGAUCUUUGGGGAUGAAGAAGUAUCUGACUCUAGCUGGAAACGUGCUUUGUGUCUGAAAUGAAGCUUUCUGGUGUAACUCAGCGAAAUCCACUCGAACCGGCAUUUGAUCACUGGAGAUCAGUUCUUCAUCUGCAUCAAUUGUGCGAGGGAUUCACUGUGACCAACAUCUGACUUGAAUUGCCAGAGAAUUGAUCGCAGGGAGAUAUCAUUUAUCUGCUGCCAGUGUGAGAAGGAAUUCUCACUCAGCCAACCCACAGAUAGAGUAAGUAGAGGCCUUUUACCUGCUGUGUGUGUGUGAGGGGAUCUACUCAGUCAUCCAGCUUUAAGAAACAUCAGCAAACUUACACCAUAGUGAGAGCGUUCACCUGUUUUGACUGCAGGAAGCGAUUCAUUCAGCCGUCCAAGAUAAAGGUACAGAUCAGAAAAUGCACAGUGGUGCGAGGCUGUUCACUUGGUCCCUGUAUAGGAAACGAUUCACUCAUUCCACCCACAGACACAGUGACCACUCAACUGUUCUGUGCGUGGGGAGAUAUUCACUCGCUCAUCUGACCUGCUGACAUACAAGUCCGUUCAUACUCAGAGAGGUCUUACAUCUUCUAUGAUUAGGGGAAGUGAUUCACUCAGUUACCCCUCCUAGACACCCCAGUUGACUCACACUCAGGAGAGGCCGGACAUCUGCUGAGACUGAGAAGAAAUUUGCUUGGCCAUCUAACCUACUGGCUUAUCAGUCAGUUCACACUGGGAAGAUAAUAUUCACCUGUUCAGAUUGUGGAAAGGGUUUCACUCAAUCAUCUCAACUGAUGAAACAUCACCGAGUUCACACUGGGGAGAGACUGUUCACCUGCUCAGACUGUGAUAAGGCAUUUACUCAGUCAUCCAGCCUACAUUCACACCAGUGGGUUCACACUGGAGAGGGGCCGUUCAUUUGCUCAGACUGUGGAAAGAGAUUCACUCAGUCAGCUAACUUACUGGCACACCAGUCAAUUCACACUGGGGAAUCUGCCCAGACUGUGUGAAGGGAUUCCCUCGGUCAUAUCAACUGAAGGUACAUCAGCGAGUUCACGCUGGGGAGAGGCUGUUCACCUGGCCAAAAUACGGAAAGAGUCAUCAGUCAUUCAGUCAUCUAACCUAGUUUCACACUACCGAGUUCACAUUGGGGAAAAUGUUUAAAUAACCUGCAUACUGGAAAGCUAACCAUCACAGUUUCUGAAUGCAGAGGCAAGUUCAGAAGUGACUGUUGCUUUCGAACUCUGCAGUUAAUGCUGCUGCUCUUCACACACAGUUCUGCACCCUGGUCACUGGGCAUGAGAGGAGUUUCUUCUGAUGUUCACCUUAAAUAGCACUGGAGUUUAAUAUUCUAGAUCAGUGACAAAUAAAUCAGUUCUAUUUCAAACUGUCUCAGGUGUGUUCGUCUAUCGUCAACGUCAAUGAGGACCUCGACACCAUUAUGAUGGUGUCGAGACUAGCGCUUGAUUUGGAUUUAAGUGACGGAGAGUUGCGCAGCGUCAACCUCACUCUCUCUUCCCAAUUCCCAUCUUGAUCCAGUGGAAAGACAGAGUCGAGACGGCUGGAGAUGGGACUAGGCGCAGUGGAUGACCAGGACGUCAUCUGUGUCUUGUCCUGCUCUACACGUUCCAUGAUGCUUGCAGAGACCGCCUUCUUGACCGUUGGACCUUCCAUUGGUCUCGUCCGCUCAAUCCGCCGGAGUCUGUCUUCACAUGCUGGGAUAGACAACUCCCUAUCUCACCGAGGGUUUGAGACCCGUCGGCUACCCUCACCUGGUUUAGCCGGCUUGUUGAAGCCGUUGCCCGGGGUGUGGCCGCUGUCGCAUGCAAACAGCUACAGGGAGCCACAGGUGAGAGCUGAGUGCCAGGUGGGGACCAAAGGUGGACAAACCACUUUGAAAAGGACGCGACAUGUUCCCCCACCAGAGGUGCUACCCCUCCCUGACACCCAUACAUCCCAUGUCUCAGGUACUUAGUGAAACUACAACACACCCAGUGUACAUAAGGGAAUCAACUCUCUGUUGCUGGUCCCUGCCAGUAUUUCUGUUCCACAAUAGUCCUUUUAAACCCAGCCCUCCUGUUUACCUCUCGCUCUCCCUGUGGUGAUCGGUUCCAAACAGCCACCACUCUGCGGGUGAAGAGGUUUCCUUGAAUUUCUUGCAUGAUUUCCUGCUGACCAAAGAAGACAAACUGACUUCAGUUGUGUCUGACGUGUUCUUCAUCUCUCAAAUCUCUGGGCUGAGGGAGAUUGUCAUUGGUCAUUUCAUCAUUAUAGGUUAUUUUCACUGCUUCUAAAGAGCUGUGUCUCACACAGCUGGGUUGUUAGAAUACACUACUAUCCUCUAAAUUCUGAAAGCAGAAUGCAGACCCAUAUGUUGGAUGUUCAGCGGAGCAGCAACAGAAACCAGAGACAGGUCAGCACAGGGCAGGGAUUGGGGCUCUGGACAGUGGUAGAGGUAGGAGAAUGUGAUGAGGAGCUGGGGGGGGGCGGAGUGUGAUGAUGAACGAUUGAGUAGCAAAAUUUGGAAGAAGACUGACAGAAAAAAAUUAGGUUGGCUUUGACUGUUGACACACACAAUCCCUGUUGACAUUGAGGAUAUGCUUAUGGGAGCUGGUUCUGUUAAACCGGCUACUGAGUUCUCAUAAAAAACAUUGACUAGAUUGAUGCAAUUUGGCAAAGGGGAGGCGAUGCCUGUAAAUGCUUUCAAUGGCUCUGUUCUUACCUGGAAAUCUGUGAGCUUCACAAUUAUCAUCACAGCGAGUUGAGUGAGUAGGUGCUGAGAGUCCACAAUUGUGCCAAAAAGCGCGCGUGCAGUCAGUGGACAAAUGGUUCAGGGAAUGGGUGCACUAGACCUCUUGGGCAUAACUGAGAUCCUGCUAUCUAAAUCUAAGGAUCUUGGACAGAUGAAAAAUAUAGUUCUGAGUUUAUCUUGCAUUAAUAACUUGUGAUGAAUCUUCCAGAUAAGUAGAUAAGCAGUUUUCUACCAAUUGAAGUGGAACAUUGAGAUCAGGUCCAAUGUCCAGAACCAGCUGAUGCCCAUACCUCAGAAAAUAAUGGGAAUAUUGACACUGAGGACUAAAAGAAAGAACUGGGUCCAACUUCCAGUGAAUUAUAAUGCAAUUAGAGCCAAGCGCGACAAAGAAACUCAUUGCCUCACUUUUGGUUCUGUAGCAGAUCACCUUUGUUGAACAUCAUCUGGUUAUGGAUCCUGCUACCAAGAGGAACCAUUGGUUCUUCUCACAAACAAGAGAAAAUCUGCAGAUGCUGGAAAUCCAAGCCACACCCACAAAAUGCUGGAGGAACUCAGAGGGCCAGGCAACAUGGAUGGAAAAAAGUAAACAGUCGUCGUUUCGGGCCGAGACCCUUUUCAUAGAUGCUACCUGGCCUGCUGAGUUCCUCCAGCUUUUUGUGGGUAUUCCAUUGUUACUUCUAUUCUGUCUGGGUGUAUAAUGAUAAUAUACACCUCUGCCUUGGGUAACAAUUGACCUGUAGCAUUCGCACCACAAAAAUUCCAUACAUUAACAGUCUCCAGUGAGAAAGUCCAGUCACCUACCCUUGACAUUCAUUGGUAAUGCCAUUACUGAGUUCACCGCUGUCAAUCACCUCAAGGUCACAGUGAUCAAUCAGGAAGUCUCCGGGAGCAACUGUGUAAAUACCCUGUGCCCCUCGUCAGGCAGUGGCACAUGUCCAGAAUUGUUAAAGUAUAGAGACACACUGAGCCAAAUCAUAGAUAGAUGACAGGUAGGAUUGACCCACUAUUAUACAGACAGGUAGAUGGCCAGGGAAUGUGGUGCUGAUUGCAGAUGCCUGAGCCAUGUCCAGAAAGAAGUUGAGGAUUAGUUCUCUUAACUUGCACUGAGCUUCACUGUACGAGUGUGAGGAUAGUGAUCACCACAGAGACUGAAACUAUCACCUGAACCCCACUCUCCUGCCUUCUCCCCACAACCUUUGACAUCCUGAUUAAUCAAGACCUUAUCAACCUCUGCCUUAAAUAUGUACCCAAUCACUUGGCCUGCAGAGCUGUCUUUAGCAGUGAAUUCCAGAUUCACCACCCUCUGGUUACAGAAAUUCCUCAUUUUAAAUAGAAACCCUCUAUUCUGAGACUGUGCCCUCUGGUCCUAGACUCCCUUACCUUAGGAAUCAUCCUCCAUAGGUUUCAAUGAGAUCCCUCCACCCCUCAUUCUUCUAACCUCCUGCAGGUACAGGCACAGAUUUAUCAUAUGGUCCACAUAUGUUAAACCUUUCAUUCCUAGGAUCACUCUCAUGAACCUCUUUGGACCCUCUCCAAUGCCAGCACAUCUUUUAUGUAAGAGGCCCAAAACUGCUUAAAUACUCCCAAGUGUGGUCUGACCAAUGCCUUAUAAUGCCUCAGCGUUACAUCCUUGCUUUUGUGUUCUAGUUGUCUUGAAAUGAAUUCAAACACUGCAUUUGCCUUCCUUACAACUGCUGGAGUCCUGCUUGACGACUCCCAGGUUCCCCUGCAUCUCUGAUUUUUGAAUUUUCUCCCCAUUUAGAAAAUAGUCCACACAUUUAUUCCUUCUGCUGAAGUACAUGACCCAUGAAUUUAGAGAAAUUAUAUUUCAUUUGCCACUUCUUUGCCCAUUCCCCAAAUCUGUCUUAAGACCUUCUACAGAUACCCUGCUUCCUCAACACUACCUGCCCUUCCAGCCAUCUUCAUAUCAUCUGCAAACUUGGCCACAAAACCAACAAUUCCUUCAUCCAAAUCAUUGACAUACGACGUGAAAAGAAACAGUCCCAACAUUGACCUCUGUAGCACACCACUAGUCACCGGCAGCCAACCAGAAAAGGCUCCCUUUAUUCCACUCUUGGCCUCCUGCCAGUCAGCUGAUCUUCACAGUGGGAAAAGGCCAUUCGCCUGGUCUGUGUGUGGGAAGAGAUUCACUCAGUCAUCCAGCCUGAAGGUACAUCAGAAGUUUACGCCACAGAGCAACUGUUCACCUGAUCUGACUGCGGGAGUGGAUUCUUUCUGUUGUCCAACCUGAAGACACAUCAGAAAAUUCACACCAGGGAGAGACCAUUCACCUACUCCAUGUGCAGGAUGGGGUUCCCACUUUUUUUUGCUCUUUGGGGGUUUGAUGUUUUUCCUCAAACAGGUUACAUGCUUUUC